rnacentral:rRNA from 3 species
UGCCAAUGGCACUGCCCGGUAGCUAAAUGCGGAAGAGAUAAGUGCUGAAAGCAUCUAAGCACGAAACUUGCCCCGAGAUGAGUUCUCCCUGAGACUUAGAGUCUCCUGAAGGAACGUUGAAGACGACGACGUUGAUAGGCCGGGUGUGUAAGCGCAGCGAUGCGUUGAGCUAACCGGUACUAAUGAACCGUGAGGCUUAACCUU